CCAGCACAAAGUGAAAAUGGGGGCCCAUUGUUCAUGAAGCCGGAAAACAGUAUCUAAAGCUCUGUGACCUACUUCAAUAGUUGAAAAUAGCAAAACUAUUACGCAGUAACAGAAGUCCAACAAAUUGCUCAGUGCUUCUACAUGUUGUCUAUGGGAGGUGAUCCUGAGGGGAGGUGUACGGUGAG